AGAGCGAACGCUGGCGGCAGGCCUAAUACAUGCAAGUCGAGCGGCCACUUCGGUGGCAGCGGCGGACGGGUGAGUAACGCGUGGGAAUGUGCCCUUUGGUACGGAACAACUGAGGGAAACUUCAGCUAAUACCGUAUGUGCCCUUCGGGGGGAAAGAUUUAUUGCCAUUGGAGCAGCCCGCGUUGGAUUAGCUAGUUGGUGGGGUAAAGCCCACAAGGCGACGAUCCAUAGCUGGCUGAGAGGAUGAUCAGCCACACUGGGACUGAGACACGGCCCAGACUCCUACGGGAGCAGCAGUAGGGAAUCUGCGCAAUGGGCGGAAGCCUGACGCAGCCAUGCCGCGUGAAUGAUGAAGUCUAGGAUUAGUAAAAUUCUUUACGACGGGAAGAUAAGUGACGGUACCGGAGAACGAACGCCCGACUAACUCGUGCCAGCACGCCG
rnacentral:rRNA from 1 species